GAUGAACGCUAGCGGCAGCCUUAAUACAUGCAAGUCGAGGGGUAGCAAGAUUGUAGCAAUACAAUUGUUGACGACCGGCAAACGGGUGCGGAACACGUACACAACCUUCCUACAAGUGGGGAAUAGCCCAGAGAAAUUUGGAUUAAUACCCCGUAACAUAGCGAUGUGGCAUCACAUUGCUAUUAUAGCUUCGGCGCUUGUUGAUGGGUGUGCGGCUGAUUAGAUAGUUGGCGGGGUAACGGCCCACCAAGUCUGCGAUCAGUAGCUGAAGUGAGAGCAUGAUCAGCCACACGGGAACUGAGAAACGGGCCCGACUCCUACGGGAGGCAGCAGUAAGGAAUAUUGGACAAUGGACGCAGUCUGAUCCAGCCAUGCCGCGUGAAGGAUUAAGGUCCUCUGGAUUGUAAACUUCUUUUAUAAGGGACGAAAAAAGGUCUUUCUAGAUCGUCUGACGGUACCUUAUGAAUAAGCACCGGCUAACUCCGUGCCAGCAGCCGCCGUAACAC
rnacentral:rRNA from 1 species